GGACUCGUGGCGCAACUGGAUAGCGCAGCCCGCUUCGGACGGGCAGGUUGGGGGUUCGAAUCCCUCCGAGUUCA
rnacentral:tRNA from 2 species